AUGUGGGUAAAGCUGCUGUGUGUGCCGCCACAACAAAUCGUGCUUUUCAUCAGUGUUUUUAAAGAACCUUUCAGCACUUUGACCGUCUGUUUACCGUGGCUGCGGCAUAGCUGGUGGCAUGGGAGGAAUGAUGCUUUUUCAAGUGCUUGUUCCACUGCUAUUGGUUGCCACAGCAUCAUCUUCAGAAGAUAAAGUGUUUGUCCUGAAAGGAGGGUCCAUCGUGUUGCAGGCGGAGCAAGUGACUAGGGUUUCCUCUAUCAUCUGGAAACACAACAAGGAGAAAGCUGCAGAAUGGUUUGAGGGCGAUGAUGCGCCAACCUAUUAUAACAUAUUUCAAUAUGUAGCUACACUGGAUGAGCAAACCUGGGCCUUGACCAUCUCAGACCUCCAUCCACGUUUUAAUGGGAAAUAUUCAGCUGAGGUGAACAACAAGGACCCAACUCAGUUUGUGACCUUAACUGUACUUGGGCCAGUUUCAAAACCUACAAUCACCAUGGACUGCAUUGAUACCCUCUGCACCCUGACCUGCGAGGGACGGGAAGAUGGAUUCACAACAUACACCUGGGCUAAUGGCAUUGAAGAGUGGCCUGGAUCUGAACUGACUGUGGAGAAGAUAGACCAUGAUGUGGUCCACACCUGUAACUUCAGUAAUCCAGUGAGCUGGGCAUCCAGCAACGGGACAGUCAAACAUGUACCGCCUUCACCAGUUCCAGGACUUGGUCUAGCUAAUGGAGUAAGAAUUGGAGUAGUAAUUGCAGUGUUAAUUAUAGGUUCAUGUAUUCUACUUCAGCUGGUGUUAAAAAAGCAAGGAAACAAAAAUCAACCUGAAGCUAACCAAGAUCCAUCACAUGAUGUUGUGACAGAAGUGCAGAACAGUUGUUUGUAUGUCACGAGAGCAGAAGGAGCGUGAUGGAGGUGAGGAAAAUCAACAACUGCCAAACACUGUUAAUGUGGGGUUUUCGCUGUCUACAUGGCAAGUUAUUCAAGCAAAUGAAUGCCUAGGUGUUAAUUGGAAAUUUUACAGAAUAUAUUGCCAUUAACAGAAAACACUGUCAGGUGGCACUGUUUAAAGUCUAAAUCAAUGUUUGCAACUUUGGUAGCAUAAUAAUAGUAACAUUGACAACAAAAACAUAUUUGUAAAGGUUUUAAAACUGCAAGUGUAGUGUAUGAAUGAGCCAGUAGAUGGCCAAGUGAAUGUUCUCUGUUCAUUGUGUGAAGAGAUAUUUAGUUUUAUACAUACUGCAAAUGUUCUCUGUUCAUUGUGUGGAGAGAUAUUUCGUUUUAUACGUACUUUGUGAGAAGAGAUAUUUUUAUACAUACUUUGUGAGAGAUAUUUUGUUUUUAUACUUAUUUUGUGAAAAGAAAUAUUUCGUUUUAUACAUACUUUGUGAAAAUAGAUAUUUAGGUUUAUACUUUGCAAGUUUUUUUCUCAUGACUGGAGUGUUUGUACAUUUGAGGCGUAAAAUGAGUCCCACCAUUUACUGUAACAGUCAAGAAUAUUAAUUGUAUUGUAUAUUCUGAUGCACCUCUGUCUUGUGACGUUUGUGUGAGCUGAUGGGCAUUGUUUGCCUCCUGACCCCCCCUCACUCUCCCAUGCCCCUCUCCCUUCUCCUGGGCACAGGUCAUUCUGGGGUCACACCUGGCCACAUUUUAGGGGUGAAAUCUAUUUAGUGAGUAGAGGGCGUCAGCACAUUGGGGGUUGAUAUCAUUUUAAUGGCCUGUGUGAGUAGGCCUAUAAGGGUCACAGUUGUUGAACAAUAAGUUGGAUCUUUAAAAGGUCUCCAGAAACAUGCGGAAAUGUCCUUUAUAAGGUCUCCAUUCCAGUGACACUCCCACCUGGGGUCAAAACAUGUCCUACUCCUUGCCACUCGGAUAAGGAGAUGGCCCCAUUGGUCAAAGGUCCUUAGAUGUGUAAAUAGGUUAUUUAUGCAAAUUUCCAUUUGUCAUGUAAUUUAAGAAUGCAUUUUUUUUUGGUUGUGUAUUAUUACUAGAAGUAUUGAAUCUUUAUGCUUUUAUUUUUGACUUAGCUUAAUCAUUGCGUAAUCAUGUUAGAAAACAUCUUUGAAUUUGCAAUGCGUGAAUUGUGUGAAUGCCUGUAAGUGGCUCCUUUGUGAACUCAGAUACAGUAAAUCCUUGUAGUAAAUUCUAAGAGAGACAUAACAUUAUUAACUAUCACUCUGGUAAUAUCUAGCCACGACUGCAACAGCAGUGGUGAAUAAAUAACUGGAGUCAGAUUGGUCA
rnacentral:lncRNA from 1 species